GGGCCUUUAGCUCAGUUGGUUAGAGCAACCGGCUCAUAACCGGUUGGUCCGGGGUUCGAAUCCCUGAAGGCCCA
rnacentral:tRNA from 1 species